GAUACCACCCUUGUAGUACUGGGACUCUAACCAUAGGCCAUGAAUCUGGUCUUGGGACAGUGUCAGGUGGGCAGUUUGACUGGGGCGGUCGCCUCCCAAAAGGUAACGGAGGCGCUCAAAGGUUCUCGCAGUACGGUCGGAAAUCGUACGUAGAGUGUAAAGGCAAAAGAGAGCUUGAUUGCAAGACAUACAGGUCGAGCAAGGAUGAAAAUCGGACUUAGUGAUCCGGUGGUUCUGCGUGGAAGGGCCAUCGCUCAACGGAUAAAAGCUACCCUGGGGAUAA
rnacentral:rRNA from 1 species